rnacentral:rRNA from 1 species
AGUAAAUUGGUUAAGUUAGAAAGGGCGCACGGUGGAUGCCUUGGCACUAGGAGCCGAAGAAGGACGGGACUAACACCGAUAUGCUUUGGGGAGCUGUACGUAAGCGUUG